GGCCCUAACCCUUUGGGAUUUAUAGGGUGUCUCGGGCGGUGCCACCGCCAAACUGAGCGGUGCCACCGCCUGGCGCCCGAGCGCUUAGGCGGUGCUACCGCUGGUUCUGGCGGUGCCACCGUUGGCGUGCUGCGUUAGAAAAUAUUUUUUUUUUUUUCAGAGGUGUUUGACUCAAGAUAGGUUAAGAUAAUGAGUCGUACUUCAGUAUAUCAUCUUGAAUCGAAGGAGAAUGAUGAAGUCAAAUCCAUAGAAGAACGGAAAAGGAUGAGACAUUUUUCGAAAAAUAUAUUCAAACAAGCUUAUUUUCAGGGAUAAUUUAACAUGCCUAGUUCCCUUCUAAUGAAUUCAAAUUGGUCUUCAUUUAAG
rnacentral:lncRNA from 1 species